rnacentral:misc_RNA from 1 species
GAUUGAAUAACGCAGCGAAAUGCGAUAAGUAAUGUGAAUUGCAGAAUUCAGUGAAUCAUCGAAUCUUUGAACGCACAUUGCGCCCCUUGGUAUUCCGGGGGGCAUGCCUGUUCGAGCGUCAUUAUAACCCCUCAAGCUCAGCUUGGUGUUGGGGCCUGCCGACUGGCAGCCCUUAAAAUCAGUGGCGGCGCCAUCUGGCUCUAAGCGUAGUAAUUUCUCUCGCUAUAGAGUCCCGGUGGAUGCUUGCCAGCAACCCCCAACUUUCUAUGGUUGACCUCGGAUCAGGUAGGGAUACCCGCUGAACUUAAGCAUAUCAAUAAGCGGAGGA